CUCAGCUCGCUUCCUGGUUAUGCCUGGGAACAAGAAGUAGGAAGCACCAUAAAUCUUGUGAAAAAGCUUCCUCUGGCAAGUUUCCUAGCCCAGCUUUGCUGAUCGUUGAGUUUUGGAUCAUCUGGAUAAACUUCGUGAUGAAGAACAGCCCGUGCCUGGAUUUCCAUAUGAAGAGCAGGACCUCUGGACAGCCUGAUGCCACCUACCCCUGCCACCAUGGGAAGCUCAGUAAAGCCCAGCUUCAUAGUAGAGAGCCAGCUUAUGAGUGACCAACAGCACCUCCUGGCGUGGUGCUACGGAAAUCGGUGCAAUGCCAAAGAUUCAAAAUCGGGUAUUAAGUCAUGGUAGAAGAUCAUCAGUUGAGCCAGGAUGUGGAAGUCACCUUUAGAAACAAUUUGCUCUAGCUGUGGUUUGAAAAGGGGCGAUCAUGCCCCUGCCCAAGGCUGCUGUUGAGUCUCUCAGCUGAUGUUGAUGAUGCUGGAUGGUGAUACGUACCCAGCACCAGCGUGGGCAGCUCUGUGUGUGACUCGGUGUCACCAGGAGAAGCUACGAUGGUUUUAUUGGAGAAUAUCCAUUGGUUAGCACUGCCUCAUCUGACAGCAGCAGUUCACAGGAAUUAAUGGAAAAGAAGGUAAAUUAAUCAGCAAUACUAAUGAAAAUGGUUGUCUGUGCGCCACUGAAACCAUCCUUCCAAAUAGAAGUGAUCACUCUGGCAAGCCAGGAACAGAAUCAGCUCCGUGUCACUGACGUGAGCGGUUGUGCAGCACAGGUCGAUAAUCGAUGUGAAGAGUUCACAAGUGAUCUGCCAGCUGAAAUACGUUCAUGUAAAGCUACGAAAUUUGAAUAUAGUCAAAUGUGCAGAAAAAAAUAAUCAAAGCCUGUUUCCCUGUCACUAGAAAAUGGAAAAAAAAGAAGUUUGAGCAAGGUGAAUUUGUGGACUUCCUUCCUGCAAGAUGGUAUCAGGACAAGGCGUGAAGCUGGAUAUCUGAAAAAGAUCAAGACAAUUUUCUGAACAUUGGUACGCAAGUGCUCUGUGACCAGUGCGAGUCUGAUGGCCAGCAGAAGUCCUUGGUAGAAGACCAAGCCAUACUUUCUCCCCUGGAUACAUUCUGCAACCAAAGAGGUUUAAACCUGCAUCCAGACUUGGCUCAAGCAUUGCUAUUGAUACACAGAGGAACCUGAAAUGCUGCUGGUUAUCUGCAGCUCAGUGUUUUGCCUCUCUGACAUGCGAUGAAAGGGGUAUGGUCCUUAUGAGGAUGAGGUGGGUGAUGAAGGCUGCUUCCCCAGGAGCAGAGGCUGGGGAUGAAGGGGAACGUGGCUGGAAAUGAUGCUGUGCCUGCACUUCCUAGGGCUGGGGAAGGCCACACACUUCCCAGUGAGGCUGUGGUCCUGGCUGCUGUAGCUCCUACAUCCAUGUGCUGUGUCCAUGUGAUGGAAAAUACGAGAGAAAACACGGUCCCAAACAGACAGGCUUUCCUCCUGUGCGGGCUUUAGUAAGAAGCAGCCUUAAAGCCUAACUAAGAACAUAGUCGCCCUGCUUUAGGGCUUGUGUUAGGCUUUCUGCCGCAUGUGGAUGCAUCAUCUGGAUACUGGUGUGGGAGUAGCUGCCCAGUGCAGCGGCGUCCUGCAAGCGCUCCUUGAGGUUUGGGAAGGGGCGGGCAGCUCCCUGGGAUAAGUGCUGUUGUGCGGUUUGGAUGUGGUGGAGCCUCAGUAUCCACAAUUUAAGGGCAACAGUCCUUUUGCAUCACUUGUGCACUGAAGCAGUGCAGAGCCGGUGAGGCUGAGUUCUCCUUAACAUGGACCCCCCAUAAUCUUGGGCACGUUGCAUUCACUGCGUGGCUCUCAGCGGUUGUGGCUGAGGUAUCAUUUUUCUCAAGAUAAGCUGAAGUUGUGUGCGUUGCUGGAUGACUUUUAUCUUGCGAUCACAGGCAUUGUGCACUCUGAGUGUGAAAGGAACUGUUUUGCUUUAUAACUUGGAUAUGAGGAAGGAUUAUUUUGCAAGAGGUCAUGGGAGAGUGAGAGAAGUUACGAGCAAGUUGUGCCCUCUGGAAUAUGCUGUGGGAUGAAGAUGUGGAGAGUGAUAUCUUCACUUUUCUCCCUUUCCCUUUUCUGUUGAUGAUUCAGACUAGGAAUGAUCUGGUGGGUUUUAUGUAAGAAAAGAUGUUAGGCUGAUCUCAAACAAAAGGAGAAAAGCAAGUCGGUGUUCCAAGUGCAUUUGUGGUUCAGUUGAAUGAAAGCCUAGUCUUGCCAACUCAUGGUUUGAUCGUCAGUGCCAUGAUGCAUAGUUGUUUCUUAUAGCUCCAGGUCUUGAGCUAUGGAAGGUCUUAAAAUAUAUUCUACACCCUGCCCCCCCCUUCACCUGUAGGUUUCAUGAUUUCAAAGAAAAUAUAGGAAACAUGACCUCAGUGUACCCUCAGGACUGAAGUACUGGAAGGCAAUGGAUUAAAAACUGGCUCAGAUUGCGAAGUGAGAAGAUGUCUAUAUACUUUUCAGUAUUGCUAAUUCAGACUUUGGAUGCUACAAGAGAAGUUCCCAGAGCUGAGAUUUGAAAAGCAUCUUUGAGACACCUAUUUGUAACUCCAUGGACUGAACUUAAGUGGGUGAGAGUUGAGUUUGUACAAGUGUCAUGGAGACCUGCAUUGCUGAUGUAAAGGCAGGAAAGCAGCUUUUGCAAAUUCCCCCCCCCCCCACCUUUUCCUAUUUUUCUUAAAACUAAGGUUUGAUUAAGGGGGGAAGAAAAGUUUAAAUCUCUGCUUGUAGUAUGACAGAGAAAUAUAUGCAUACAUGUAGUGAAUAAUUUGUUUGAUUACUAUCAAUGCUAUUGGGUGUUCAUGUACAGAGUUACCAUCCCCACAUAGAAAAUGCAUCAACCAGUACACCACUUACUACUUUAAGAGAGUUGAAAGUUGCAUAUGGGUUUUGAAGUAUGGUAAAUGCAGUCAUACAAUGCCAAUAAACAAAUGAAUUCUCUAAAAUGAAUGAAAAAUCUCUUACUUCUAUUCCUGCCCUUGAGAAGGGGCUUGGGAGCGUGAAAGGUAUUUUGUCUCUUCUUGCUGUAUCAGUUGGUCUAGUAAAGAAAUUUCCUUGGAAAGGAGAUAGAAGCUGUAUUCUGUAGUCAAUAAGUUAUGGGCUGGUUUCUGGGUGGCAGUGAAGGGCAAGGUUGGGUUAGACUAUAGCAGAGGUAUUUGCCAGGGUGCGUUUGCUGACGGUGAUUGGGGCCAUCAAUGAGAAUGACACUGGGGAGCAUCCACCUGUAUGUUUAAAACAUGCUCUGUGGAUUCAGAUGUGAAGCAGGACAGAAGGAAUACAAAAAGACAUGAAAGGAGUACAAGAACUUCUCCCAAAGGUGAGAUUUUUGGACACAAUAAUCUGUUUCUUUCAGGCUGUGUUAAAGUAAAUAGGUUAAUAACUGUUUUGCUUUUUACCAUUAAUCCUGCUUCUGAUUUGCAUGUAGGUGUAUUUAUAAGUUUUCCAUGUAAUUCCAGAGAGACAGGGGUGGACUUAAAGUUCCACGAAUCCACCCUAAUUUCAGUGUAACCUGACAAAGUUUAUGCAGAAACACUGCAGAGCAAGACGGCGCUGAUCUCUCCUGCCUCUGCCAUGUGUCAAAACAGUGAUUUGGAGCAUGGAAGCAAACGUGUGUGAUGGUUCCGUGGUAGGUCCUGCGAGCAUUGAAGGGCUCUGUGCUACUCUGCAGGGCUUGUUCUGAUACACUUUUAAUAUCAAUUUCUCUGUUGUAAUAGGGAGGUUGUUUUUUUUUUGUUUAGUUGGUUGGGUUUUCUUAAAUUGAGCCUAAUUUAUGAGAUCAGGAAUUCCUGGCGUACACCAUAUUUCCUCUAGUUCAAACAUAAGGGAUAAAACCAAAGGGCAAGUCUGAGUUUGGGGAAUAGAGAAUAACAAUUUGAAUGUAAUCAUGUUAUCUGCUCAAACAUCGCACCUCAUGGUCCCAGGCAGAACCCGCCACCUUUCCAAAGAGAGAGUGUCAGAGAUGCAGAGAGCUGGUAAGAUGAGAGGGGCAGAAAAGCCAAGAACAGGGCAAGAAUAAAUACUGGUUUUACAAAGCCUGAAGUGGUGGGAGCAUCUAGUGAUUAGACUAUCAAGCCUUCGAUCUAUAAAUAAUGGUACCAUGUUUAUUCCCUCCAGGGCCCCGUUGUCAAAAAGACUUUUUUUUCCCCUUGUCAGCCAGAGACAGACAGACGUGGUUUGUCUGAGUGAGAACUAAGCAUGUGCCCCUUUCCCAGGGCUUGUCGUAGCCGUGGGGAUGUGGGUCUGACAGGGAAAGGUGCAUUUCAAGUGGACCUUUUCAGGAGGUGAAUUCAUUGUCGUUUAAAAGAAUCAGAUGAUUUACAGUGCCUGUUUAUUGGCAAAAGUUAACGUCUUUCUCUGUCUUUUUGUAUACUUAGAAGAGACAUAAUAGCCUGGUCAUGUGCUGGAAAGAAAUGACUCAUUUCAUAUUGGGUCUAAGUGAAACUAAUGUAUUACUCAUUUUUAUGCAACUCUAGUAAAUUGUACUUAUUAAAAAGGGGGAGAAAAUUAAUUUAGAAAUAUGGUUGACCUCAGCUUCCUCAUAGUGAAAAUCUGCUGACAAAUCUUGUGAUUUUUUGUUUCUCUUUUGAAAGCAGUCCUCAGGGUUGCUAUCGUAGUUCAGUUGUCAGGACCAGCUACUGGUACAAGUCCUGGCUGGAUGAUUUUACCAUUGUUCCUCCAAAGAGAGACUUCCAGAUUCAUUCUUCUGAGCUUCGUGCACUGCUUGUUGCUAAAGCAUCCGAGUCUGACCCCAUUGCCGAGGUCUGCUGGUGGUGUGUGCUACAGCCCUGCAGGCUGCUGAACCAUGAAUGCGGCUUCAGCGGCUCCCAAUGUGGCUGCUGCUCGUUCUUCUAAUGACACUAAAAUCUUGUGAGGCGUCCAUGCACCCAGGUCAAAUAAGAUAAUUUUAACAGCACUGAGCACUACUUCUCUUCAGUCAUGCUUGCAGUGCGUAUGGGUAGCAGCCUCAUGCACCACUAAGCUGAGAUUAACACCAGAAAGAAGGUUCUGUGCUCUUUGAUGGAAAAAAUGGGACACCAGUGAUUUCCAUUCAUACCUGCUGACUGUACAGAAUGGGAGACGCUGUUGUGCCUCAGUCCUUAGGUCCUCGUGGUGAAGAAAAGCACUGCAAGAAAAAUAUUUACAAGACAAAAUGGAAAUAUGGUUUCCUCCCGUUGUCGGUCCAAACUUUACCCCAGUUCUCGGAGAGCUGUGAAAUGUUGUGCUUUAUUAGUGCCCAGAUAAUGAUGGGAAAAAAAAUGUAAUUUUCUUUUUCAGGUUUCUUUAUUCAUUUUAUCAAUUAAGAAAAAAACGAAAUGUCUGGCGUUUGCUAGUAAGGUAACUAUAACAUUUUUAAAAGGCCUUGGCAUGUAGUGUAGUGUAAUGAAUGAUCUGAUUUUCAUUGUUUGUUGCAUUUCUAAUUAAAAAUUUAGUGCAAUGUGAAUGGCUUUAUAGAAAAAAAAAAAAAAAAAAAGACAAAGGAUCAAUAGCCAGAUGGCAUAUAGCUGCAGAAAGUAGCCGUGGAGACCCAGGCAAAGGGAAACCGGAGUUCAACAAAUUCACUGCUUCUUUAUAAAAAUCACACGGAUGAGUCAGCAGAACAAGCUCUUCUCUCAUCUAAAAAUGUUAAUCUAGGAGAUUUUCACAGCUGCAACAAUUUCAGGCCCCAGUGAGGAGGGGCUGGCGUGGGGACAGGGCACAGCUGUCCUGGUGGCCAUGGUGGGGCUGGGACCCAGCGCGCGGCUCCUCUCAACACUUGCGUGGAGCGGUGCUGGUCGUGGAGCGGUGCUGGUCAUGGAGCCAUGCUCACCGUGGGGCAGUGCUUGUUGUGGCCGUGGGAGAGCAGAUGGAGCACAAUUGCUGAUUCAUGGGGAGCUGCUCCGCACAAACCUGGGGCUGCGGCUGGUCCAGGUGCAUGAACAGGGGCAGCCUUGGCAGUCAGAGUGAUGGGUGACUGGGGUUCACAUCUGCGGGAUUUACUGUUCUGGUUGUGGCUAGAGUUGUGCCAACCCUUUCAUUUUUCGUUUGGUUGGUUUUGUUGUAUUUCCUUUUUAAAAAAUACUUUUUUGAAUGCUAUGUAUUUACUCCAGUGACUUACUCUGUCAGCCUUUCCUUGGCAAAGCAGCCUCACCUCCCCAGCAGUGACUCAGGAUGCUUGUCUGCCUGGCUCAGGCUUUCUCUCCUUCUCUUUGUGUCACCGUACACCCUUUCUCUCCCUCCCUAGCAUUUUCAGCAGUGGAACUUGUUGAAAAACAUUACCAUCUUCUUCAGUCUUUGACAUUCUCUGACCCACUCCUCUGAGCCACACUUGGCUGAUCAGAAUCUCAAACAAACUCCUUCACCCUCUGAUGCAGUGUUGGGAUGAUCAGUGCUCAAAUCCCAGAGAUCUCUCUUUCUUAAGAGGUUAAAGAGAAUCAUUUUUGAAAACUUUAGCGUUCCACCAAGUCAAAAGGGAUCAAUGGGAUCCGUGUAGUGCCCUGGAGGUUUCAUUCCCAGCUGUCUGAUAGCAUCCACGCUGCCGAGCCCUUCCAGCGAUGUCUGAAUGUGUCCCAUCUGGAAAAGUUUAGGAAAAACCACGUGGGUGGGAAUUGCAGGACUGCCUCAGGUAGGGGGUUUGCAGGGAUUUUUUUGGCAAGCAAGCUGCUAGGUAGCCUGCACUCAGCACAUCUCCAGCACCCCUGGGAUUUAUAGCGCUAUUUGGCUGCUGCGAAGCGAGACCGUAAUGGCUUACACCAAGCCGUGACUAAGUGAGCUGGAAAAAAUGAAGUGGGAAAAAUGUUCCCCUCCUCGGCAGCCGUGGCUUGGCAGGUGAAGUGCCGUGAAGAAAAUGACUAGCACCAGCAGAACCUGUGAGGAGCCGAUGGUGCCAUCAACCACCACCUGCAGAACUGCUUCUCUGACAUUACUGUCCAGUGUUGGCCAUGUGUCUCUCUGUAUUUCCUCCAGCUGGAUGUAGCUGUGGGAAGAAGAUCCCAACACAGGGCUGUGUCCCAGGACAGGCAUUGGUGUACAGCAGACAUCCCAGGUGCUUGUGGCUGGGAUGUCAGCAGGGACCUUCUCUGGAGCAACCUAUGGGAAUGUGGGCAUGUGGUGUGAGGGUGCAGCCUAGAGGAUGGUGAGCUCGUGUGCCUCCUUUGGUUUUAGUCUCUUAAAGGUCAUCUCUGCUGGCCACUAAUAAGUUGUAAAAAAAUAAGACAAAUGCUAGAGACUAGAUGUCAUCGAAGCUACUCAAUGGCAAUAAAAAUAGGGGGAUUUAUUUAAAUUGGACUGUAUUUGAAAGUCUAUUUUAAUCUAGUCCCUAUGCUCCAUUCAUCCUGUUGUUUGGGCAUCGUUUUCAAGGCUGCUGACCCCUGAGUGUGUAGAUGCAUAUGCGGAGAUGGGAGUGCAUUUUCACAGUAGUCGUGCAGGCAUUCAUGUCAAAACUGGGGGUGAACUUGUCCCCACCAGCUGUGUUUGCAGUAAUGUGUGUCCUCUUUCGAUGUACGAUGGGUUGUGCCUGACUCCAAAACCUUGUAUCUUCAGUUCGGAUUAAGGCUCUAGGUCUGGUCAGCAGGGGGUAGAGCAGGGGACUUGAAAGCAGAAAUCUGGUUUCUAUUUGAGGCGGUGCCACUGCAACAUGCUUUAUAAGAGGGCUGGUGGAUUAUGCCUUUCCCACAGCCAAAGGGAAAUGUACUCAAAAGGGAGUGUUAAAAGGCAGCCAAGGGAAAGAGGAAAGGGGUGAUGUGAUCUGAUACCCGCUGACCUCUCUUGUACAGACAUAUCUCCCCUUCUCUUGGGUACCCUGAGAAACACACAACCCUCCACAGAACGGAUGUUCUCCGAAUAUUCUCCCUCACGCCCUUUUUUCCCCUUCCUUUAGCCCUUGCUCUGUUUAGAAAUUCCCAUUUGUUUGCCUGUCUGGUUUCCAUAACCUCACUGUCACUGAAGCAAUGAGGAAAACCUCGUGUUAGCGGCUUAGCAGUGGAAGUUCAGCUCAGUCCAGCUCUGGGCAGUUCUGGGUUUGCUCUUCCUUUGCUUUUUGGUUUAGGAUUUUUCUUUUUCCACUACCAUGUCCAUUUCUACAGAAGCAGCUGACACCUUAGUCACAAGAUCAGAGUCACAGACCUACCCAAGAUCUUAAUAUCCAGUUGUAUGUUUGUGUGUGCAUUUUCUUUUUCAGGGCAAGUACAUAUUUUAAGGAUGGAAUAACAGCUUGUCCAAGAAUCAACAGUCCGCAGGGAGCCAACUAGUCUAGCAGCCAAGGCUUGUGCUGUUUCCUUGAGGUUUUGGGGAUGGGUUGCUUGCCUGUCCUCUUACAUAAAAGCAGAGCAAAUUGUCAGAAUAAACACAUUUUUAAAUAUACGGCACCAUCAGUCAGAGCUUAGGAGAAGCUCAUUGGCUGGAAAAGAGAUCAAGGCAACUGGGAAUUUGGAUGACCUGACUGGAGUGUUUGGACUAAAAGGUUCUUUUUCAUUCACUGGAGCUAGUAAUUUUUUUUCUUUUUUGUCUUUAGGUAAUCAUCCAGGAAAGAAAUAAAAUAUCCUUCUCUUUCCUCCAGGCAGUGAAUCUGGAAUCAGAAUCCUAUUGCAUUAUUUUAUCAUUUUAUUUUUUUGGUAAGGACAGAUUGCUACUGGGUGUGAGUCAGAAGGAGCCAGCAUGCAGCGCUGCUGUCUGAGGUGGUUCAUUGCUCACCAGUGCACAAGCCAGUGCUUAAUUCAGGUUAACUAUGGUUGUCUGGAGAUGAUACCCCAAGUUUUACAGUCUGGGUUAAGUCAGCUUUAAUGAACCCUGCCCAAGGAGGGAGCUCUGGCGGGAAUUACACUGAGCAGAAGAGCCUGGUAUGUUGCUUUUUAGGUGAGCCGCAUGACAUUCCUGCACAGUUGGUCAAUCACGGCAAGAGGAGAGGUCCUUGAUGUUGUUCUCUCUCAAGAGAUGCCAUCAGGACUCUACCAGGACAAACCCCUGCUCCCUGCGCAUUGCGUGGUGUGCAGGUUUCCCUGUGGUUACACCAAGCCUGGAUGAGAGGCAAGGUGGGACAACUUAUUGAGUCACCUUUCCUCCAUAUCCCCAGAGCAGCAGGGCACUGUCUGCGACAAACAUAAAUGAGUUGUCUAUGAAAUUUCAUUAAAUUUACAGGCAGUGAUUGUUAUUCCAGACCAAGGAGAGGAGAUGGAAAGAGGCUGAGGUCCAGCUAGGAAUUGGCUAGACUAGUUCUUGGAUUGUUUUCCACGCUGUGGUUAUCCUUAUCUGCAUCUGGAAACUGGAGCGUGUUGUGUGUGUUUGCAAGAGCAAGCGGAUGUGUGAAGUGUUCUGGCAAAGUCAGAAAUCUCGUUUUCCCUUCAAUAUAAUGCAGCCUGAUUAGGUUGUUAUUGACAUGCUGAGAACCUGCUAGGGUUGUUACAUCUCUGUGGAAAGGCAUCUGUCUGUUCCUCUCCUCCCCGCUGCCUGGAAGGGAUACAGAGCUGGAAGUGGGAAGGACCUUGCAGGCUGCAAAUCCAGCUGUGAAAUAAAUCUGUUGGGAAGGCACCGUCUGCCUGCCAGCUGACCAGCAGUUUGACGAUAUAUGUGGAACUGUGACCCAAUUAAGAGCAGUUUGGAACAAUUAGUAAUUCCCUAAUGGGGGAGGGGGAGAACAAAAAAGAAAAAAAAAAAAAAACAAACCCUCAUAAUAAAAAACUCAAAACAAAAUGCUGUAGCUGGCUGGAUGUUUUUCAUCGUGUAGAUCAUUGCUAACAAGAGUUACCGGCAGUGUUUGGUGACCAGACUUGUCUGACUUGAUUACACCAGCUCAGAAAUGUGCGGUUUUGCACGAUCUUUAUUAUCUUUGACUGUUUGUGCUAAAUUGGCACCAUAAGAUGGUCAGAUAAUGGUAAUUCUCACAUUUCAAAUUUGCCUUUGCAAACUGUGGACAGAGUCAGUCAAAAUAUCUGGGGUGUUGCUGUUGUUGAUCACAACGGACCCAGCCUCAAAAGUCCUUAUACUGAAAGUUCCUUGAAGAUGGAUUUGUCUGCAGAAUGAUUUUGGGUUCAGUAAAAUUGCAUCUUUCAGUGAAAUGACAUUUUUUCUCACCAGUUUAUUUAUAUUCAUCGUAAUUGUCUCCUUGUGAUGCCUCUUAUUCAUUUGUUAGAUCCACUUGUCUUGUAUCUUGUUCUGACCUCAAGUGCUUUUUGGGGUAAGCCUGCCUUUCAAGAAUAUGCAUGAUUGGUACCAUAGAAAUAGUUUUCGUGUGCUUGCAAGAAGUGCAUUGCUAAGGGAAGCAAGCAGGGAAGCCUGGAGAGAUAAGCAGAAAAUGACUACAUGAAGAAAAGGAAAGAAUUAAAAUAGAUGACAAGGAGUUAAUCAAAUAAACACAGGCCCUUUUCAAAAAUUUCACAGCUUCUGUUUUGUUUAAGUGGUCUGAAUCUUACGGUGAUUGCACUGGCCAACCCUUGAUGUUUUUCUGUCUGAUUAGAGCUGGAUUGUAGUGGCCAUGAUGAGUUACCACAACAGUCUAUUAUUGGCAUUGUUAACUAGUGUCCCUCAUUAAAUUAAACUGAAAGGGGCAGAGAAGGGAAUCGUUUCAAGGUGUUCCUCAGAUCAUAAUUAUUUAAAUGUAUUAUAAAGGAUAAAUUUAUUUUAAUUUAUCAGGGUGGCCUUUUUUUUUUUUCUUUCAUCUAUAAAUUCAUGCUUUGAGGAGAGUUAAUUUACUAUGCAAAGAAUUUUUGAAGGUCAUAUUCAGUGCCAUUAACAUUGUACAGAGGACCUUUGAGAAUCGCUGUUUGUCUGUGCAGGUAUUUCUGUGGCCCCAUGUUGCUCUAUGUACCAGAUGCCAUUUAUCUACCAACACAGUAGGCACCUUUCUGUGCACUGUGUCCAGAUACUAGAGAUGAAAUUAUUGUAUAUUAAAAUACAGAAACAUCAGGAGGGAGCUGUCACUUUCUUCAGUCCUGGCUUGCAUAUCUAUGAAGAGGGCCAAUUAGAUACGGGUGGAGGAAGAGCUGGAUCUCUGAAGGAAAUACUGUUUUGGGGACUGGAGUAGGAAUAUGAUCUGAUGGGCUUGUUUUGGCUUUCAUUCUGUGAACGCCUAGUGAGAAAUUAGGUGGCAUGUUUCUGUAUGUGCUCUAGGGGAUGAGUUUUGGCCGUUAUAUGUGAUAUGGUUAAACCAGAAAAUCCCCAUGUUAUCAGUUGUGUUGCUGAGAGUUACAGUCUCCUUGUAUCAGCUACGCUGCCUCUUAAUAAGCUGAAGGAGAAAUCCAAGGAGAGCCUAACCUUGUUCUGUUUUCAGCAAUGCGCUCAAAAUUGUAAAUAUUCUUGACUACUCCUGUUUUUUGCCAUGAAAACGACACAAGGUGCAAAUGUGACACCUCACAGUCUAUCAGUGGUGGGAAAAGAAUCCCACCUCUGCUUUGCAUUUUGUUGGGUGUGGGAGCAAUUGUGCACUUGUAGUCUGAGUAGCUCUAUUUAUUUUAUUUUCCUUUCUUUUAUAUAAUGGAAAAUAAGGAACAAAAGUAAAAUAUCUACAGGAUAACUUCAUUGUUGCAGAAACAAGCUACAAAAGUGACCGCAACUCAGAAACUGAAACAGCGGUUAUUUCCUAGUGGUGGUCGGUACUUGGGCAAUACCUAGAAAACAAGUCACUAGAGCUACAGUCUUCUGCCUCAGAAAUCUCUGUAUUCCCAACUGCUUUUUUGUCUGUUAAAUAAUAUGGGCAUAUGAUUUGAGCCCUGAGACUUAAAGGAUGUAAGCAUGUACAUGAAAUUAGGCAUGUCUGUGUGUUUUGCUGAGUAAGGGUGCCCUAGUCAGGUGUUUAAAUUUUAAAUGCGUCAGAACCCUUGCUCAUAAAGGACGCAAAUUUCAGCCUAGACAGCAGUGAGAGGAAUAAACAUUAAACUCAAACCAAACUGCUAUCGAAGUAGCUCUUCAGACAAUGUAGAAUUGCACUUUAAGAUGGGCAGAGCAUCUUUAAAACCCUCUUGCAGCAGCUAAGAGCUUAUACAUUUGCUUUCAUGAGAGGCAUUACAGAUGUCUGUAAGUAUUAUAUAAACACUGGCCUGUUUGCAACAGUUUAUAAACCUAAAUAUUUUAUAAGAAAAUACUGAGCAUUUAACUUGCCUUGUAUUUUUUAUGCAGCAAUAAAAACACCAUUUUUAUCAAAAGAUGCUGGAAAAACUGACUAAUAAUGUGACACUUUGUUAUGAACUAGGAGGAAAGUUCACUAGUCCAGGAUUAAUUAGGUGCGUAAUCUGUACAGGAAUUUCUACACUAAACUGAUUAUGGCUUUCCUUGCUUUUGCAUAAAGACGCAUGUAAUUUGUGAGGAUCUUCUCUGAUGUAUCUUUAUGUCUCUGUGGCCAAAGAGGUUUCAGUGGUUCCCAACUGGACAUUGCUUGGAAAAUGGAAGUACCAUGUCUACACCUGCUGUGAUAUAUGCACAGCAUCGCGUGUCUUUGCCAAGUGACCCUCCUGCAGGAGGCAGGAAAGAGCACGUUUUAGACCUGAACGUAUUCUCCCAAAAUACAGGUACCACUUUCAAGGAGACCCAAACCAUGCCUUGAGGAAGCUACAAUGAAUUGCUUGAAUCCAAAAUUCCCGGAUGGAUUCCAGGAGUAAUAAUUUCCCCAAUGAAAUACAAAAAGGCCCUUGGCUACAUUCCCAAAGAAACCCAUCUCCGCUGAUAUUCCAUUUGCAAGGCUGAAUGCAUUUUUUUUCUCCACUCCAAAAUUUGCAUAACACUUGGCCACUUAGAGGAGAAGAAUGAACAACACCUGACAUUUCUACUUUGAAUUAUUUAGGAAUAUUUGCUCACUGAGUGUAUAAGGCCAUCCCCAAAUGACCAGCCCGCACUAGCUGUGAAAGAUCACAACAUUAACGAUUAAAAGUGCUGGGGCUAAAACUGAGUUGAUCGUUGCAUGGGCAUGUGACAAAGAGGGACAACUGUGGACAGGGCAGGGAUGGAGGAAGCCUGGGUCCUGCUGCAGUGUCUGCCCUGCUAUGCUCUGGCUUUUUGCACCUGGAAGAAAGCAGAGAGGGGCUUGUGCUGCUUCAAACGUCAGGCUCUUUUCACAGUCUACUCUGAACCCCACGUCUCAUCCCUUUACUUGAGAGAGCUUUUUCACGGGCAUGAGAAGAAUCAUGAAGCCUGGAUUACUCAAACAAAUUCUGGACCAGUCUUCUGACUUUUAAAUGCUUCCUGGAACGACUUUGUGAAAAAUGAGCAGCCAAGCAGAAUCAACUGCUUAUGGGCUGCAGCCUCAGUCACGGUUUCGGGCCGUCUCUGCACCAUGGUGAACAUCACCGCACCGCAGCAAAUGUGGAAACACCACUGCAGCACCUACAGCUCUGCUGCCAAGGGGCACACAGACUUUGCUUCCCGGCGUUGCUCCAAGGAAUGGAUUUACAGGCAGGAAUACCUGUGGAGACAUUUUCCUUAAAGCCUUCAUCUUCCUUCAAAAACCCGGCUCUCCUGUUCGUUCCAGCCAGCCUGGGUAGAGACCCUGGUCCUCGUCCCCUUUCUGCUGCUGUGUGUCCAUAUCAUUCAGUGCUGUGUCCCUUGGGAAAUGCAGGCUGGAGUCAGGACCCCAAACUCGAGACAAAAACACCCUUUGUCUUAAAGCUUUAUUCCCUGAUUCUAAGCUCCAUUGUCUUCAAUCAAGAUUCAAGUGACUGUUCUCAAUGCUACAUCCACCUAUGGGUAGAAACUCAGAGUGUUCUGGCCUGAACUGAGGUUAAUGUUAUUGCAAUUGGAUUCUUUGGGAAGUAUUUCAACAGAAAUACAUGGUUUCUAAGCUUGCUUUUAAAAAUGACACUCAGAUUCUGACACCUUUCUGCAUUCUAGAUCUGGGCUUUAGCAGCAAGACCAAACAUUCCUGGUAAAUGUAUGUGUGCUAAUAAAUGCAAACUCCUUGCCAAAUCCAUAUGCCCCACAAUAUGCAAGAAGCAUCAGAAGUGAAGAGUAAAUUAAAUCUGAGACUGUUUCCUGGUUCUACACUACAGGUUGCACAAAUCUAAAGCAGAUGAAAGUUACGGCCGAAUUGUGUUGCACGGGUUUCAUUCAGGACAACUUUGCUGCUGUCAGCUAGCCAGUAACUUCUACUCUAGCCAUCAAGUGUGAUCACUAAAAAUUCAAGAUAGAUGAAUAAACUGAGGCGGGGAGCCAUGAUUAAACCUGUGAGUCAGGCAGUGAAAAGAGCUGGAAUUAGACCCAGGUACCAGUCCCUGGACCACCCCAUGGAACAAGAGUCUCUUAGCUGCCAGCGGUCUCAUAGACUUGGUGCUACCAGGUACGGCUGAUGCCAACAGGAGUGGAGGACAACCAACAUCCUCCCGUAAAUCGCUGGGCACUAAGCUGUUCAGAAGCAGUUUGUUUUUACCACCAAAAGGUAUUAUUUCAUCCUUUUUUCCCCCCAGCAUUCAUAUUUUCCCUUUUACUCCUGUUAUUUUUGUUCCAUUUAGCAAAUACAACUUUUUUUCCCCCU